UGAAGUCGAUUUUCCCUCCUAACUUUUGGAGGGACCGCUGUACUUGUUUCUUGGUUUCUUCAAUGAAAUAUUCUAUUCCCUCCUUUUUUUUACUACAGCUUUUAAUUUGCUGAUUUCAUUCCAUUCGGAUUUUCAGUUAUUUAAAAUUUGAUAAAGCUGUCAACUUGUAAAAGAAAAAAAAGCAGAUUAAAAAAAAAACAAAAAAAUCGAAGUCCACCAGUUUGUACAAGUAAGGAAUUCAAAGUUAAAAUAAAUGUGAAAUGAAGGAAGAAUAAAAAAAAAAUAGAAAACCUAUAAAAGAAAAAAUAAGUAAAAUAAAUUACAAAUGCUUAUAAAAAUAAAUCCAAAAAUUAAAAGCAAUCUCCUAAUCACAAAUUAGUAAAAGUAAUCUAAUCCUUUAACCACUACCAUUUUCUUUCAUCCACAUCACCUUUUUCAGCU
rnacentral:lncRNA from 1 species